UUACACAGAGGCAAUAGUCCCCCUGCUCUGGCCCCAGGGUUUCUGGGAUGCUCAAGAAGGGAGGUUAUGUCUGGCAGAUAGCCUCUCUCUCUAUUCUAAGAGGUCCUGGCCCCUCCCAGCCAGCCCCACUCUGUUCUCUCAGGGGGGUUGCAAGGUGGGAGGUUGGGUAAGAGGUGACAGACCUGAAAAGGGAGGCAAAGAUGGCCGAGAGGGAAGAGUCGGCCUGGGGGAGUUGCAGCUGAGUCGCAGGAGAGGGAGACAGGCUGCAGAGCUAUAAAUACCUCCCAGAGUCUGUGCCCUCGUCAGCCACGGCUGCUCACCGAGUUACAGCAGACAUGUACUUCCUCCUGGGGAGCGGGUCUCUAACCCAAUCUGAAAGCAGUUGGUUACCUCGUAAUAGUCAUGUCACUAUCACAUGCGUGGGAGCAUCUUGUGUGGCAAGUCUGUCCUAUAGCAGCAGGUGGCGGCCCAACCCCAAAAGAGCACUUCGUGAUCAAUUUCUUUUUCCUGGGCGCGAGGAAGGUGGCGCAGGACGAAGGACGAAUACUCCUACUUUCCCUGAUGCAUCAAGACUUGGGGACGGAAGAGAUGUCACCGGUCACAAUGCGACAGGAGAGUCUCCAUUUUCAUCUAUAAUUUACGAAAGAGCAUGGUCUUUGGGGACACGCUGGACGAAGUUGAGGAAAUACUCAGGUUGGACUAGAUAAAGGACUUCCUGAAGGAGAGAGGUUCUGGACUCCACGCUGGCGAUAGACAGUUGUGGUUGGGAGGUCUGGCGUGACUGAAGACAAGUGAUGUCUCCUAUGACUGUAUCUGCUCUCCUAGUGAGAGAAUGCGGGCUGCUCUUCCGCGUGGACUCUCAGUAAAUGCUGGCUCGGUGACGUGAUACACUGUAAUUCAAAGUGCUACCAGCAGAGGGCGGCUGGGAGCCAUCCGCUCCUGGCCAGCUCCUUCCAGCUCCCACUUGCUCUCCUGGGAGCCUGUGGUCUGGCCCAAGCCAGCCUGGGCAAGAUCCAACUGGUCAGGUGUCCCUCCGCUUUUCGGAAAGCUUGCCUUACUCUCCUCUUGGGUGCACUGGGGGAGAGGAGAGGUUCAGCUUCAAGCCCGAAGCUGCCUGGCUCAGGGAGGCACCUUACAGAUGGCACCUGUUGGCCACUGUAGUCCCAGCAUCUCUGGGACCCUGUAGGGCAGAUAGGGUGCUCCUUGAACCCCUUAUUACUCAGGCCUGGAUGACCCCAAGAAGCAGGGGUUCCCAGCCCAACCCACCAUCUCCAGUUCCUGUGUUCUCCUGGACAGGCUCCCAGAGGCCCACAAAGGCCCUCAGAUGGAGUUCUGGGCCAUGCAGCACUGUGCCCUGGGCCCGCGGCCUGCUGGCUCUAGGAACUACAAGUCCCUGGCCCUCCCCUGUAGGCCUUUGUCCACUGUCCUGGCUCCUGGCUGGCAGCACAUUUGCCAAGGGAGGGGAGGGGCAAACCUGGGUCCUCUGCAGCCUUCCUACACUGACGCCCUGGUUUUCUUUCCCACCUCUUACUUGCUGGUCCCCAGACAGGGGCUGUCCAGUGCGAAGGGUCUUCCCUCUCCCCCACACAGGUUUUAGGUGGUAUUGCUAUCUCCAGAUAACACUAUGAGGUUCCAAGGACUCCCCCCAGUCUCUGUAUCUCCCUGUCUAGGCCCUGGCACGAGGCAUCCCUCUGGCCCUGUGGAAUCCUUGGCCUGUGCAGGGACCGGACCUUGGCCCUGUGCUCAUUCUUUGGUUCAGCACUGUUUAGUUCCUAUUGUAUGCUUUCUUGGCUCAUGGUGGGUCUGAGGACUCAGAAAAGAGAGACGGGACCUAACCAAGGGGCAGCUGUGCAAACAAUAUGGAGGUACAAGCUAAGAUCGGGAAGCCGCCGGAGCCUGGACGCGUGCCUUCCAGGUCUGGGGGAAUCUCCUGAGAAGCCUUCCCCACGGCUGCUGAAGAAGCUCCCACCCAAAGGGCAACCAGCAGCCGCAAGCUUCUGCGGCGUGCCUUCUCCCAAGGCCGCGAGCCCAGUCCCAGCCCUUCCUCUCACAAGUUGCUCUUGUCAGGUAUUUGGUCACCACAAGGAGAAAGUAACUCAGAGCGUCCUUCAAGAGAGAGGAAUUGGAGACCGCUGGCAGGGACAGCUUUUGAGAAGCCCCGUGUCCUCUGGAGAGGGACGGGGACAGUGGCGGGAGAGCUGGCAGGAACUGGGGGCUGCCAGUGGGUGUGUGUGUGUGAAAGGAGAUUCUCCAGGCAGGGAGUGAGCCCUGGAUGCAAGGUGAGCUCAUGAGGCUGGGACUGUCCACAGGGGAGGCUGGACAGGCCAACUGGCGUCUUUAUCUGCACGGGCUGGAGAAGGCUGUGCGACAGGAAGGGUGCUCAGAGUGGCACUCUGGGAUUGCCUGGAGAGAGAACCCUCUGGGGCACAGCCUUCUCUACUCAGGCCUCAAUCUUCCUCUGGAAGAGGGAGGCAGGGUUGCUGCAAAGUCUUAUCUGAUUCCUGAGAGCCCCUCAGGUAAGGUGGGUGGAGAGGGCGAGGGGUCCAAACUGCUGUCUCUCAUUUUGUGUUGGACGAUGGGAAAGCUUGGUGCAUUGGGCUGUUGCGUAGGGCACUGUCCUGUCACCCCUCACAGGGCAGGAGUAGCCGACUCAGCAGGUGCCCCUCCCCCAGCCAUGCUUCCCUGCUCUAUAUGUAGGAGCUGUGGAUACUUGAGAGCAAGGUAAGACGAACCUUACAGGUCUCAGACCACAGGAGACAAAGAGUAAAGAGCCACUUCUAUGAAGGCCUCAUGCCUGCUUGGAUGCUAGACCACUGAGCUACAUCUCCGGUCCCAGCAAGCCACCCUUGCCAGUGGAUUAGCCAUGACCUCUUGAGGGCACACAAGCACACAGUUCUUCAGCUCCUUCUGUCCCCACGCAGCCCCACUGAGUCAAGGUCUGCUAUCAUCUGCAGGGGCAGAUAAAGCCAGGGCCUAGAAAGGUGGUUCGGCUGAGACCCCACAGGGCGAAUAGUAAGGAAGGGCUGGAGCCUCUACCUCCUGAGCCCCAGCCGUGGGCGCCCUCCUCACCAACAGGACAGUCAUGGAGUCUUCCUCUGUGCUCCUCAGGAAGCUCUGAGGUCCCUGCGUGCAGAGGGUGGCAGUGUCUGUGGGUGGCGGGUGGUGAAAGACUCCCGACUGCCUACCUGUGUCCUGAGACCUGCCGCAAACGAGGUCUGUUCUUAGAGCAUUAGGGUCAAAUAAGCCAUGGAGAGAGCAUUCGAGGCGACUGUGGCAGCCCGUAGAAGUGUCAGAGUGGGUGACGACACCUCAGGUCCAGCAUGAUGAGGGGAGACCGACCAGAUCUUAAGACGACACCAGAGUGAGUCAGGCAUCUCUUAAGGGCUAGCAAAUCCUUUCUUUGUCCCUGUAAGAAUCCAAGUGUGUGUGUGUGGGGGGGGGGGGGAAGGAAAGGGACAAAGUGAGGAAGAGGGGGCCAGGGAG